AAAAAGAUAAGCUAAUUAUUAAGCUAAUGGGUUCAUACCUCAUUUAUAGAAGUUAAGCCUUCUUCUUUUUA
rnacentral:tRNA from 2 species